GACGAACGCUGGCGGCGUGCUUAAUACAUGCAAGUCGAACGGAAAGGCCCUGCUUUUGUGCGGUGCUCGAGUGGCGAACGGGUGAGUAACACGUGAGUAACCUGCCCUUGACUUUGGGAUAACUUCAGGAAACUGGGGCUAAUACCGGAUAGGAGUUCCUGUUGCAUGGUGGGGGUUGGAAAGUUUCGGCUGCUGGGGUUGGACUCGCGGCUUAUCAGCUUGUUGGUGGGGUAGUGGUUUACCAAGGCUUUGACGGGUAGCCGGCCUGAGAGGGUGACCGGCCACAUUGGGACUGAGAUGCGGCCCAGACGCCUACGGGAGGCAGCAGUGGGGAAUAUUGCACGAUGGGCGGAAGCCUGAUGCAGCGACGCCGCGUGCGAGAUGACGGCCUUCGGGUUGUAAACCGCUUUCGCCUGUAACGAAGCGUGAGUGACGGUAAUGGAUAAAAAAGCACCGGCUAACUACGUG
rnacentral:rRNA from 1 species